rnacentral:rRNA from 1 species
AGAGUUGAUCAUGGCUCAGGAUGAACGCUGGCGGCGUGCCUAACACAUGCAAGUCGAACGGGAACUCCAAGAUGAAGCUUCGGCAGAAUUUGGAAAUUCUAGUGGCGGACGGGUGAGUAACGCGUGGGUAACCUGCCCUUAAGAGGGGAAUAACAUUGAGAAAUCAGUGCUAAUACACCAUAUGCUUACAGAAUCGCAUGAUUCAGUGAGGAAAGGAAUUUCGCUUAAGGAUGGACCCGCGUUUGAUUAGCCAGUUGGCAGGGUAACGGCCUACCAAAGCGACGAUCAAUAGCCGGCCUGAGAGGGUGAACGGCCACAUUGGAACUGAGACACGGUCCAAACUCCUACGGGAGGCAGCAGUGGGGAGUAUUGCACAAUGGGCGCAAGCCUGAAUGCAGCAACGCCGCGUGAGUGAAGAAGUUAUUUCGGUAUGUAAAGCUCUAUCGAUGGGGAAUAAAAUGAAGGUACCCAAGUAAGAAGCCCCGGCUAACUACGUGCCAGCAGCCGC